rnacentral:pre_miRNA from 1 species
ACUUCAUUUCACGUGCUCUCUCGCAGAUCAGAGCGACGAGAUAGUGUGUGAAAUGAAGAGA